rnacentral:rRNA from 1 species
AUUGAACGCUGGCGGCAGGCUUAACACAUGCAAGUCGAACGAGUGGCGGACGGGUGAGUAAUGCCUGGGAAUCUCGCUUAUGGAGGGGGAUAACUACGGGAAACUGUAGCUAAUAACGCAUACCCUAGUAUGAGCCCAAGUGGGAUUAGGUAGUUGGUGAGGUAAAGGCUCACCAAGCCGACGAUCACUAGCUGUUCUGAGAGGAUGACCAGCCACGCUGGGAAUGAGGCACGGGCCAAACUCCUACGGGAGGCAGCAGGGGGGAAUAUUGCGCAAUGGGAGCAAGCCGGAAGCAGCCAUGCCGCGUGUAUGAAGAAGGCCUUCGGGUUGUAAAGUUCUUUCGGUGGCGAGGCGUGAACCGCAGAAGAAGCACCGGCUAACUCCGUGCCAGCAGCCGCGGUAAUAC